UCAGGACGAACGCUGGCGGCGUGCUUAACACAUGCAAGUCGAGCGGAAAGGCCCUUCGGGGUACUCGAGCGGCGAACGGGUGAGUAACACGUGAGCAACCUGCCCUAGGCUUUGGGAUAACCCUCGGAAACGGGGGCUAAUACCGAAUAUGACCUUACAUCGCAUGGUGUUUGGUGGAAAGUUUUUCGGCCUGGGAUGGGCUCGCGGCCUAUCAGCUUGUUGGUGGGGUGAUGGCCUACCAAGGCGACGACGGGUAGCCGGCCUGAGAGGGCGACCGGCCACACUGGGACUGAGACACGGCCCAGACUCCUACGGGAGGCAGCAGUGGGGAAUAUUGCACAAUGGGCGGAAGCCUGAUGCAGCGACGCCGCGUGAGGGAUGACGGCCUUCGGGUUGUAAACCUCUUUCAGCAGGGACGAAGCGUAAGUGACGGUACCUGCAGAAGAAGCACCGGCCAACUACGUGCCAGCAGCCGCGGUAAGACGUAGGGUGCGAGCGUUGUCCGGAUUUAUUGGGCGUAAAGAGCUCGUAGGCGGCUUGUCGCGUCGACUGUGAAAACCCGCAGCUCAACUGCGGGCCUGCAGUCGAUACGGGCAGGCUAGAGUUCGGUAGGGGAGACUGGAAUUCCUGGUGUAGCGGUGAAAUGCGCAGAUAUCAGGAGGAACACCGGUGGCGAAGGCGGGUCUCUGGGCCGAAACUGAC
rnacentral:rRNA from 1 species